UUUCCCUUUCCAAAACCUUAAAUUCAACCAUGGCCGCAUACCUCUUUCCACCAUGACACUCUUCGAUCUGAAACUUUCCUUCUUGCACAAACCCUAAAUUUCUACAAGUCGACCUCUCAUCUAAUCUCUAGCCGUCUAUCUCUCAUCCUAAAUCUGAACCAGACAAUUGACUCCUACAAUCAGAACAUGCCACUUCUCUUCCAUUCCACUCCACAAAUCUCUUUUUUUUCUUCAAACCCAAGAAUCUAUUGUUCUUUGUUGAAGAUCGAAGAUUGAAGUUUGGCCCUUUGUUUUCCACUCAAUUUCACAAUGUAUGUUUAUCUCCAUCCUCUUUUCUUCAAAGCCUAAAUUCAGGAAGAAAGUUUAGGUUUAUGUUCAAAGCAAAUCAAUGGUGACACGGGGACUAAAAAACGCUGCUUCCCUCCAUUGAUAUCUUGACCGCCGGAAGAAGAAAUAUGUAAUGUUCCUGAAUAGGAAUCGCUACAAAUGAGAGAUAAUGAGGGAGCCAGUCAAAAUCUACGAAUUAGGGAUUCGGGUUGGAAGGCAUGUCUUAUGGCAUUGGAAGCUUCUCCUGUAUCCUGAAUCUGACGCCUCAGCCAAGUUGUCACAGAUUGAAACAAGAGAAGCUUCUUGCUGAACUUCUGGAGGCAGAAUAAGCAAGCGACAGGUCAGGAGACAUGCUGCAAGUGCAGGAUUUCAAUAUUGUUAUGCGUCAAUUAGGC
rnacentral:lncRNA from 1 species